CAGUAGGAAGCAGGCUGAGUCAUUUGCUGACGAGUUAGGGCUGCUUCCUGAUGCCAUCUGAACCUAAGUCCCAUGAAGGAACCCAAGGUCACACCUCAUUAAAAGAAGAACACGCUAAGACCAUGUUUAUGAUACAUCUUAACCGUCUAUUAUGGGUACGAAUUAUUGUCAAGAGAUGGAGAAGUAUGUAGUCUUGUGUGCCUCUUUGUCACGUGUCAAUACUGGAAAGGAAACUGAUCAUUAUUGGAAGAAGGAAGAAAAUACAGGCUGCGUCAACUUCCAGAAGGCUGAUCAAUCCCAAGAAAAUCAAGCGUAUCAAGUUUCUAGAUCUACAAACAAGAAUGAUGACGGAUGACGAGGGAGGUAGAGGUCUGAGACUUCUAAAUGUGAUCAGAAGAAACAGUCAAAUAUUACUGAGCUGCUUUCUCCAAAGCUGUUUUGACCAGACCUUCCCCUCAGCUGCCUGUACUGAAUGCAUGAAUAGAAUCGCUUCCAGAUCUUUACAACAUUGUGCUGGUGAAUACAGACUAAUUACCCAGUUGAAUGGUGACUGCAGCAUUGGCUGACAGCAAGACUGAAACCUCCUGUGAGACCCUGAACUCCUGUGAGAUGCUGAACUACUCAGAAUACUGAGGAUACUUGGAUGAAGAUGCCCAAAGUUCCAGAAAAGAUCUCGUGUUUCAUUUUGACAAGAUCCUGGAGUGUUACCAACCUAGAGGCACAUUUAAUUAAAUAUAUUUGCUUUCAUGUUCCAGAGCUUCCCAGAGUGCAUGCUGAUGAAGCACCACGAGGGCUGUUUCCACCGCCUCUGUAUCUUCAAGAAGACUGGGUCGAUCCUGUUCAUCAGGGCAAUUCCUGGAGCUGGUUUCUGCAGGUCUGAUCAACACCAUCUGAAGUUUGGCUCAGGGGAAUUGAGGGAUAGAAUCAAUGGGAAAGAGACCCCUUCUUUGGUAAAACUAGCAAAUGGGAAUCCAGCUGGAGACCCAGAUGGAGAUCCCUUCGGGUCAAAUGAAUUCUGAAUGGAGGCAGCGAGGACCUUGAAAGGAGACUGAGGACUGUUGUCAGAAGAAGAAGGAGAAAACAACCCUUAGGACAUGCUCUAUGUGUGCUUACUUGAGCGACAGGAGAAGGGGAGAAGUUUGGAGUGUUGACUGGAUUGCUGUACUGCACUGGAGCCAAUCGGAGAGAUUUCGGUCAGAAGCAAUCACCGAUGGGAAGGAAAGGAAAGCAGGAGCUCUUAGAAGAAAAGAACGUGUAUGACGAUUGAACUGCCCUGGAAUGGAAAUGUGCCCCAAGUAGUUUGCACUGGCCGGAGCUCCCGGAGUCAAGGAAAGAAGAAGCUGAAGAAGAUAGAGACGGAAAGAAUGAAGCCAUGACUGGCCCUCACUGAGUCUCAUUUUUUUGGUCUUUAUCUUUUCUCCUCAUCCCAGAGUCUCUUUCCUUACAAUCUCCCGUCACUUAGAGGGUUACCCGGUUCUUCUCUUUGCCAGUCCUUCUUUCCCUUUGAGAUCUCUGAGAAUCUCCGUUUCUCCAAGUGAUCACACAGCCCCUGACCUCUGUGGCUUGGAUCUAGGAGUCUCCUUAUAUCUGGUGCCUGAUGACAGGUAGAAUGUAAAUGAUUAUUGUAAGGAGGGAAGAUACUGUCCUUGCAAUCCAAAGUGGCACUCCCUUUCCCCUCCCUCACCCACGUCAAUACUUUAUGUGUAUUGAAGUUCAGUGUGUGUGUGUGUGUGUGUGUGAAUUUUGAUGCUCUUAUGAAUUGUUGCCCAAAGUACCUCACAGACUUGUUCCUCACACCCCUCCAGCUUCCUUUCUCGCCACUCUCUGACUUUCACCUUAUGCUCCAUCAAUGCAAAUCUCCUGCAGCUCCCCAUGCAUUCUUAAACUGCGUGCCAUUGACCUGGUUUGGGUUCCCUAGAAACUGCCCACUGUGUGGAUUCUGUGCCAGGGAUUUAUGGAGGGAAUGCUCACAGGAGAAGCCUGAAACAGAGCAAGGGAAGCAGGAUGGGACAGGGAAAUAUGCCAGGCAAAGACAUGAGUUCAGCUGAUCCUAUAGGGAGCUCUGGAGCAUGAAUUAUACCACAGAGUUUUCUCUUUUGAGAUAGGGGAACCGGCCUUUUAUAUCUCCAAGUCUGUCCAUCAUUGAUUGUUGGCCUCUUUUGGAAAGGGCACAGUCUCCCAGGCAUUCCCAGGCAGGUCACCUCCCUUAGUCUGGAGCAAUUCUCAGAAGAGCACAGCUGUGAGCUGCUAACAACCAAUGCUCAAACAGCUGGGAGAUCGACUACAACUGUUCUGAGUGUUUGCUCACAUAAUUCACUCCCUGAAAAAUCACCAGCCCCUCUUCUUGCUCUACUGCCUGAAAACUUGCCUUAUUGCAGCGGGUUUCAAACCUUACUGCACACCAGAAUCAUCUUGAGGGCUUGUUCAAACUCAGAUUGUGGACCCCCACCCUCAGAGAUUCCGACUCAGCCACUCUGGGCUGGAGUCCAAUCAUUUAUAUUUUUAACAAGUUCCGGGCCAUGUUGACGCUACAGGUCCGAAGCCCGCACUUUCUGAGGACCGCUGGUUUACUAAAUUCUCUCCAUCCCUCAGAAUUCAACUGAGCUAUCAUUUCCUUUAGGAAAUCUUUCUAUCCAUUUGUAUUCCCAUUACCCAUCUCUAUCUUGGACGACUACCCUCUUUGCUUCAGUAACACCCUAUGCAGUGAUCACCUUGUAUUGGAACCAUACAUAGGAGGGUCUCUGCUCCAGGUGGCAGGUGGAGGGAGAUGAGGAGACCACCAGCAGAGCGAAGGAUGAUACGUGUUCAGGCUUCCAAAGAAGAGCUUUGAAUGGUUUUCCCAUAAAAAUAAAUCGUCUUGUUAUCUUGUAAAUUCUUGAAGACAGCACUCUGUCUUACUCACCUUAAUACGCCUGGCUCGUAGAACCUCACCUGAUGCCUGGCAGGAGCCCAGCACAGGUUUGUUGAACUGAACAACAUCAGUCUUGGUUAGGGUUGGUUUCACGGGAAAAUAGGCCUCACUUACGCAAGUUAAAUACUCACAUAAAUUAAAAUAUAUUUAGCUUAGGGGGAACACAUCAAUUUGCAAAUAAACUUUUGGAAAAUAAUUUAUUUUGAGUUGAGGUUUGUGUUCUCUAGUCCACCAUGUCUAUCUAUAAACGUGUGUAGAGAGGCAUUAACCUGACUUUUCAUACACGCACGAAUGAGUCACUUUCAAAACUAAGCACCAUUUCUGGUCCAACACUUACUUAAUUCAUGAGCCUGUAAUUUGCUUUUGGAAAAAUCAUCUCAUAAAAUGAUGACGGCUUGAGGUUUGAGAAGUCUGGCACAGAGCUCGAAAAAAAGUAAAUUUUGUGCAACACUGCAAAGAACAAAAUGUGAGUAGCGUUCAGGGUCGGUAGCUGUUAAAUGCAAGCAUUCAGUGUAACAGACAGUCUCCCUUUAUUUUUAAUUUUUUCUUAAUGCUUCUUUAUUUUUGAGAGAGAGAGAGAGAGAG